AAAUCCAGCAUCUGAAUUUGAGGCGGCCAACUUGAAAGACAAGCAACACCUUCGGUCCUUGCUAUUAUCAUGGAAAUUGGGUCUUGAUGGUGAUGAUGAUGUGGACAAUGGUGUAAAUGAUGAUGAAAUAUCAAUAGAAGAGCUGCAGCCGCACCGAAAUUUAAAAUGCCUGACAGUGAAUGGGUGUGGAAGAGUGAAGUUUCCGAGCUGGGUUUCUUCCCUUACUAAUUUGGUGAUCCUUGAGAUUGAUAACUGCAAAAAAUGCCAAUGUGUCCCAGCACUAGAUCAGUUCCCUUCCCUUCAAAGUUUGACAUUUAAGAACUUCUCUGAUUUGGAGUACAUAGAAAGUAAUGACAUGUCAGGAUCCACAUUAUUCUUUCCUUCACUAGAGAAACUCAUGCUCAUGAAUUGCCCAAAUCUGAAGGGAUGGUGGAGGGAAUCUUUAGUGCCUGAGUUGCUUCAAUUUCACCGUCUUGCUGAUUUGUGGAUUGAGUCUUGCUAUAGCUUGGCUUCAAUGCCAUUGAUUCCAUCUGUGGAAAGAUUGGAAGUGAGAAAUGCCAGCAUGAAGUCAUUGGAGGACAUACUGAA
rnacentral:misc_RNA from 1 species